GGUUUAUGAGUGCACAGGGUGUGAUUUCUGUGCUGUUUGGGGUAUUUUUUUGUCUGUAGUGCUUGAACACUGCAAAACUCACUGAUUUCAGAGCUGGAUUAGUCCCUUGGUUGUCCCCUGUGGGAAUGGCUUU